GGGGAAGAGCUGGACCGUGCUACGGAGGCAGCAGCCAAACAGAUCACAUGCAAAACGCCAAGGUCCCGUGGGUGGGAAGCCGGUCAGGGAAAUGGGUAAAAGCUUUCAAGGUUUGUUUUGUUUUGUUUUGAUUUUGCUUUGUUGUGUUCUGUGGUUUUGAGCCAGGGCCACGUGUUACCGUAAACCAUGCUGUGUAGUAGAGCAAGACCUUCACUACCAAUCUUCCUGCCUCUACUUCUGAAGUGCUGAGAAUACAGGUGAGAAGACACCCCUGUGUGUGUGGGGGGGUGCUCAUCCCCAAAUAACAUACCACGGAGGCAAAGAAGGACGAACUGGAGGUGUUUGAAGCUCACCCAACCCUGUGAUCACCAAUUCCCACCGAGGUGUUUGAAGCUUGCCCAACCCCGUGAGCACCAGUUCCCACCUGCUGGAAGACGCUGAGCCUAAAGCAGCUUCAGCCCAGAGGGAGGAGUUAGAGCCACAGUGUUUUCAAAUGAACCACACACAGCUUGUGUAGAGUCCACACAUGGCAUGGCACCCAAGGCAUCCUGAGCUUCAGUACGAUCUCCAUCAUCCCUAGGUCCAACCUUCUCCCAGUGGUAGCGGGGUGCCUGGCUGUCUAAAGGAGCUGUAGGACGGAGUGCCACACAGCACAGAUCAGCAGGAUGGGGCUGCAUACAAAAUACGCUGAGGAUGCUCACCGCAUGCCUAAGACAUUCUCUGGUAUUGAGACAACCUUCCCCAAAGCGUGGCUAAAGCACAGGUCCUUCCCUGUCCAUCACUGGGGAAUCGGGCCUGUUUCUGUGACAGCAGCAACAAAUGGGUAAUGGGGGACCAAUCAGAAAGCCCCUUGCUGCACACGUGACAUGAGACCCUCCCUACACACAGCCUAAAGCAGCCAGCAGCAUUGGAGGUUUCUGUGGGGUACCCAGCCCUAGCCCAGGCUGGCUGUCCAGCUCUGCCCAGGCUGUCCAUCUCUUUGCCUCUGCAGCACUGUGAACACCACCCGGUGUAUAAGCUCAUCCUAGCAGCCUGGAUGAUCAGUGUGAGCUUGGCAUUGGCAGCUAUUUCAAAACAGUUGCCAAACACUUUAAAACAAAAAAACCAAAAUAAAAAAAAAAAACAAACAAA
rnacentral:lncRNA from 1 species